rnacentral:tRNA from 1 species
UGGAGUAUAGUUUAAGAAUUAAAAUGGUGUUUUUGUAAUACAUUGAUAACUUUUGUUUAUUCCUA